rnacentral:rRNA from 1 species
GCGAAGAGUUUGAUCAUGGCUCAGAUUGAACGCUGGCGGGAUGCUUUACACAUGCAAGUCGAACGGCAGCACGGACUUCGGUCUGGUGGCGAGUGGCGAACGGGUGAGUAAUGUAUCGGAACGUGCCUAGUAGCGGGGGAUAACUACGCGAAAGCGUAGCUAAUACCGCAUACGCCCUUCGGGGAAAGCAGGGGGACCUUCGGGCCUCUCGCACUAAUGGAAGCGGCCGAUAUCAGGAUUAGCUAGUUGGUGGGGCCAACGGCUCACCAAGGCGACGAUCCGUAAGCUGGUUUGAGAGGACGACCAGCCACACUGGGACUGAGACACGGCCCAGACUCCUACGGGAGGCAGCAGUGGGGAAUUUUGGACAAUGGGGAAACCCUGAUCCAGCCAUCCCGCGUGUGCGAUGAAGGCCUUCGGGUUGUAAAGCACUUUUGGCAGAAAGAAACGGCACGGGAUAAUACCCCGUGCAGCGGCGAGAAACACCUGCAGAAUAAGCACACCGGCUAACUACGUGCCAGCGGCGCGGUAAUACGUAGGUGCAAGCGUUAAUCGGAAUUACUGGGCGUAAAGCGUGCGCAGGCGGUUCGGAAAGAAAGAAGAUCUUAAAGAAAUCAGAGCUUAACUGGAACUUUGCAUUUUAACUACCGAGCUAGAGUGUGUCAGAGGGGUGGAAUUCCACGAUGUAGCAGUGAAAUGCGUAGAUAUGCGGAGGAACACCGAUAGCGAAGGCAGCCUCCUGGGAUAACACUGACGCUCAUGCACGAAAGCGUGGGGGGCAAACAGGUUAGAUACCCUGGUAGUCCGCCUAAACGAUGUCAACUAGCUGUUGGGGCCUUCGGAGCGCUGGUAGCGCAACUAACGCGUGAAGUUGACCGCCUGGGAGUACGGUCGCAAGAUUAAAACUCAAAGGAAUUGACGGGGACCCGCACAAGCGGUGGAUGAUGUGGAUUAAUUCGAUGCAGCGCGAAAAACCUUACCUACCCUUGACAUGUCUGGAAUCCCGAAGAGAUUUGGGAGUGCUCGCAAGAGGAACCGGAACACAGGUGCUGCGCAUGGCUGUCGUCAGCUCGUGUCGUGAGAUGUUGAGUUAGUCCGCAACGAGCGCAGCCCUUGUCAUUAGUUGCUACGAAAGGGCACUCUAAUGAGACUGCCGGUGACAAACCGGAGGAAGGUGGGGAUGACGUCAAGUCCUCAUGGCCCUUAUGGGUAGGGCCGCACGUCAUACAAUGGUCGGGACAGAGGGUCGCCAACCCGCGAGGGGGAGCCAAUCCCAGAAACCCGAUCGUAGUCCGGAUCAUGAUCUGCAACUCGACUGCGUGAAGUCGGAAUCGCUAGUAAUCGCGGAUCAGCAUGUCGCGGUGAAUACGUUCCCGGGUCUUGUACACACCGCCCGUCACACCAUGGGAGUGGGUUUUACCAGAAGUAGUUAGCCUAACCGUAAGGAGGGCGAUUACCACGGUAGAUUCAUGACUGGGGUGAAGUCGUAACAAGGUAG